AGGACUGGAGCCUGGAGCUGUUGAUGUGUUUCUUGAUUUCAUUUGCUACUUAGGUGGUCCUCUACCUGACGAACUGCUCACCCAAGUUAAGGGAGUUCAUGUUUCAGAGGACUUUGUUGCUGAGCAAUUGAGGUCCAUGCUUUCUGAUAUGUAGGUUGAUGUGGUUGCAGUCAAACACGACAUUGAGCAUGCAACAAGAAAAUAGAUUGAAGCAGAUGGGUGCGACAGUGAGGAACAUUUGUUUGUAACUAGAAAGACUGAAGAUGAAUGAGCAGAAAGAAAUGUUAGCAAAGAUUGCGGUGGGGAAAUGCCUAUAGAGCAGUUAUCUGAUCUGCUCUCAAGAUCUGCAGCACAAGGCAGCUCUCAAACUUGCGUGGACAGCAACAGGAAGCAGAACUUUGCAUAGUGUUAUUCAUGUCUAUUUUGUUGGUUUAAAUAGACGGUUAACUAUUUGUUGGUACUGUGUUUUUAUGCUUAGUGUUAUUUGGGCCUGUAGUAUUUUGAAAUUUUUAAAUAGACAGUUAACUGCUUUGUUGGUAUUGUA